rnacentral:lncRNA from 1 species
CUAAAAGUGAGUAGAAAGAAUCUACUUAAUGUCUGCAAACUUAUAUUUAAAAUUAGCAGGAAUGAGAAGAACGAUUCACUGAUUCAAAAUGACAACAUCCUAGGUGAGUAUCAUUCAGUGCCACAGUUAAGCAAAUGAACAGCACAAAUGAACCAUCUGGAGAGAAAGGUUAUAAUUAAUGAUGGCAAGAAUGUUGUGUCUUCCAGUAACAUGCAGAAGUCAUAUAAUGUUUACUUUUGCUCCUCCUUCUCUGAGUUUUCCACAUUCUGUUUAAUGUAUCAUUUGGAGUCCAGUAUGACAGACAAGUUUUUGUUUUUGUUUUAUAAAUACUUAUAGUAAUACAAUGUGAGUUUACAAAGAAGCAUUUGAAAAUCCAUCUCUGGGACAUGGAUUCACUAUUAGAAAAAAACACAAUAGUUUUUGGCAUAAUUAAAAAUUUUUAAUUUUUUUUCAAAAUUGAAAAUUUUAGUCUUUUGAUCUAGUAGAAAUGACUAAAAUUAAAAGACAUCUGUAAGUAUUAUAGAAAUCUGACACCAAAAUAUUUCAAAUGUGAGCCAGGUGUGAUGGUGCACACCUGUAAUCCCAGUAAUUUGGGAGGCUGAGGUAGGAGGAUUGCAAGUUUAAGGCCAGCCUCAACAAUUUAAUGAGACCCUGUCUCAAAAUAAAAAAUAAAAAGAGUUGGGGAUGUAGCUCAGUGAUAAGAGUUGCUUCUGGAUUCAAUCCCCGGUAUUGAAGAAAAAAUCAAAUAUGUAGGUGGAGUUUUAUUACAUUCUGACUACCGAACUAAUAAUGCCUAAUUCUUGACACACCUCUAAAUAAUUAAGAUGUUUAGUUAUAUAAAUGGAAAUAUUUUAUGAAUUAAUGUUGCUGGUAUAGGAGAAGGCAGUAACAUGGAAAACACUCUCAGUCCUCUUUUGGUAACACAGGAUAAAUGAUCUUAAUAUCUUUUGUAGCCCAAGAGGACUGGGACAUAACCAGUGCAGAAAGAAAUGUCUAGCACUGAAUCAGCUAACUGAGAAGUGUCAGCUGAAAACAAAUAUGACAAUGAUCACACAGACAUUAAGAAAUGUAACUAUGAGGAGGACUGCAAGUUCAUAGCCAGCCUUAGCAAUUUAAAUAUGAGAUAUGCAUAAUUACCCUUACUAGAGUUCCUGGAUUUCUCAUAAAACCCAUAGUUGUAUGUCAUUUGGAUGAAGGUUCUUUAAUUGUUUUGGGAAAGCGUGGAUGUUAUAUUCAAUUUAUCCCUUUCUAGUGUGAUUGAGUUUAAGCUCCUCUCUUGACUUAUUUUCCCUUAAUACAGAAAAAAAAAACAAAAAAACCUUCAAGGUUUGUUGAUAUCUAACUCUUGGUAACGGGGAUUAAACCCAGGGGUGCAUCCCCAGCUCUUUCUAUUUCUUAUUUUGAGACAGGGUCUCAUUAAGUUGCUGAGGCUGGCCUUGAACUUGCAAUCCUCCUGCCUCAGCUUCCCAAGGCACUGGAAUUACAGGCGUGCACCACUGUACCCAAAACAGUCAAACUCUUAAAAUGCUUUAAGAGUUAAUGCUGGGUGUGAUGGCACUGGCCUGUAAUCCCAGCAAUUUCUGAGGCUGAGGCUGGAUGAUCACAAGUUUGAGACCAGUCUCAGAAAUUUAUCAAGACCCUGUCUCAAAAUUUAAAAGUUUUUUUAAAAGGGUUGGGGAUAUAGCUCAGUGGUAAAGCCUCCCACCUCCUGUUUCAAUCUCUAGUACCCAGUAAAUAAAUAAAAUACUUUGAUUAUUAGUAUUCUAUAAUAACCUGAAAUUUUUGUAACUAAAAAUUAAGACUGGUAAAUACUAGUAAGAGGUAAGGAGUGGCAUUUGAUUAAAAGAAAUAGCUUUUUAAAAAAAGUCUUUAUUUAUUUUUUUAUGUGGUACUGAGGAUCAAACCCAGGGCCUUACAUGUGCAAGGCAAGCGCUCUACCAGUGAGCCACAACCCCAGCCCAAAAGAAUAGCUUCUUAUUUAUGUAUUAGUAAGUCUACCCUUUUGCCAUCAUUACUAUUACAGAGAUCUGUUGUAGCUAAAAGUAAGCUCUUCUUACUUGAGUGACUCUUAACAAGCAUUUACAUGUACCUUUGGACAAAUAUAGCUCACAAAUUGUAUUUGAUGUUCACAAACAAGUGCUUUAAUGUAUUUCUCUCAAGCUGUUAUACUCAGACAUUUAUAAUAAUUCAUCUUUUUGUCAGAAUCAUUAUUAGAGGUACUGAGAAGUGAAGAUCUGCAAACUAACAGUGAAGCUUUUUUAUACUGUAUGGGGACUAUUAAAUUCAUUUCCGGAAAUCCAAGAUUUCUUAAUGAAAUGAUCAGCAAAGGUGCUGUAGAAAUAUUGACAAAUUUGGUAAAGCAAAUAAAGGAGAACACCAAGAAAUGUGAGACGUGUUUGUCUAAUUCAGGCCACUUGUUAGUCCAGGUAAGUAUUUUACUUGAAAAGAUUGGAUGUAUAAAAUUAGUUUUGUGCUGCCUAAUAGUACUUGCCAUUUCACAGAAUUGCAGAUGAGAAGUUCCUACAGCAGUGGAGGUCCCAGGCCUCAAGGAUCAAGGGCAGUAGCCCCUGCUCCACCUCUGCCCUGGGUGAUCUUGGUGCCAGAUUGCCCUGUUGAGGGUACUCAGUAGCUUUUCACAAGGCAGCUCUCCAUCCAGCUGGGGGACAUCCAUUUCUACUGCCCUGCAAAGAGAGCAGCCCUGGAAGAAUGAAAAGCUGCGCUUUUCUGCAAGACAGUUGCUUCUUAUAGUCAGAACUGUAACGGCAGUUUAGUGUUUUGAAGAUGGGCCUGGCCUAGAAAUUGUUUAUGAUUGUUUAUGCUUGGUAGCUAAUGUCAUAACUCUCAUAUCCACAAUAAUAAGCAGAAAUUAGUGGUAUUCAGUUGUCAUGGAGUAUGUAGAUAACAUACAGCCCUGAGACUACAGAAACACAGGUAACAAAGCUGAAUACUACAUAUUUCUUUUUCUUUUUCCAUUUUUUUUAUAGUGCUAGGGAUUGAACCCAGGGGUACUUUACCACUGAGCUACAUCCCCAGCUAUUUUUAUGUUUUAUUUUGAGACAGUCUGGCCAAGUUGCCAAGGUUGGUCUUGAACUCGCGAUCCUUCUUCCUCAACCUCCCAAGUUGUGCUGAUUACAAAUGUGCACUACUGCACCCAGCUAGGUGCAUUUAGUAUAACCAGAGCAGGAGGAAAAAAAUUGUUAUGUAUUAGUUUUAUUACUGUUUUUGUGACAGAUUAAAUUUCAUAUUUAACUCAUUUUCAUCAAACCUGCUCUGGCUCUCAUAUUAUUUUUUAGAUGAGAUUUUACUCUUAAUAGCAUUUGUGUAUCAAAUAAUAACAUCUUUGAUAUAAUAAUUCAUGUGAUUUGACAUGUGCUUGUCAAUUAACGAGAAUUGAUUGAGCACUGUGUAUGUGCUAAGCUGUUGGAAAAGCAUUAAAAAUUAGAUUUUAGACCCUAAUUUCAAGAUGCUUAAAAUACGUAUGACCAUUAUUAAUUUUGAACUUCGGUUUUUCUCCAUUUUGAAGAUGAUUGCAAAAACCUCUUUUGGUCAUGAAUGUUGCAAAACUCUACUAGUGGAUUGUGUUUUGACCAGGAAGACUUAAGAAACAUUUUUAUGCUGUCAAUGUUUUAAUCACUUACAUUUUUUUCUUACUGAAAAUAAUUCUGAUUGCAUAAUGUUUAUAAUCACAUUAAAAUGUAGGCAAGUAUAAGAAAAAGUAUAAAAAUACGUGAAAUAUUUACCCUGAGAUGCACUAACACACCUCCAAUUUGGAUUUUAAAUAUGUGCAUAUAUAUAACUUUAUAUAAUUAUUGUUUUUUAUUGGAGAGCCUGUUAUUUUUAAUUGUUUUUGUUUUGUUUUAUUUCCAAUCACCCUCUUCCUCUCCUGUUUCUCAUUCUUAUCCAUUCAGUUUCUAAUGUUGUUUACACUGAUGUGUUUGUUUGCUUUUAAUACACACAUAGGUUUUAAAAAAUGGAUUUUUAAAAAUUUUUGGUUUUGUGCCAGGGAUUGAACCCAGAGCACUUAACCACUGAGCCACAUCCCCAAAACUUUUUUUAUUUUUUAUUUUAUUUUUUUUAAAUUUUACUUUGAUGCAGGGUCUUGCUAAGUUGCUGAGGCUGGCCUCGAACUGGGGAUCCUCCUGCCCUAGCCUCCUAUGUCACUGGGAUUACAGGCAUGUGCCACCACAUCCAGGGCAUUCCUCAUUCUUCAUAUAAUAAUACUUGGUAAAAAUCUCUUGCCUCAAUUCUAUAAACUUAUAUUAUUUUUUAUGACUACAUAACAUUCUGUGAUAAGGAUAUAUCUCAAAUUGUCCAUCAUCUCCAUAUUGAGAUGUUAUGCCAUUUUAAAUUUUUAUGCAAGUGCUUGUGGAAUUCUUGUCUAGUUGAAAAACGUCUUUCCAACCCAUUUUAUAUAUGAUAUCAUUUUAUAUCACAUAUAUGUAUGUGUGUGUGUGUAUAUCAUUGAGUGCUCUUGCAAUCAGAAAUAUAUCAAAUCAAGAAACAGGGCUCUGGUGUGCCAGUAAGUGUAUUCCCUCUGUUCCUCUUUGCUUUUCUUUCCCUUUUCCCUGGAUUUGGCAUCCCGAGGUGCCAAUUAGCUCAGCAGUUCAGCUCCCCCUCUCCUUUCCCUCUAGGGGAUACUAUAGAACCUUCUUGCUGCCUGCUGCAUCCAAACCUUUCCUUUGAACCCAGUAAAGAUCUGGCAUGGGUGGGGCCUCUGCUUGGACCACAGUCAGCACCCCACAGCCUGUCUAAUAGGAGAAAGUGGAGCCUGUUUUUGCUACCACCUGAGAACAUGCUUCUGCUGUGAUUGCCAAAUGACAUUUGGGUCUACUGUAUCCCAGUGUCUUUACAGAUUUGGAGAGGAAGGAAACAUUGUUUUAGGCUUUGUCAUUUGCAGAAUCCCCUACAAUGGACAUUCCCUUAUAUUUAGUUAAAACCAAGAAGAGCCCUGGAUGUGGUGGCACAUGCCUGUAAUCCCAGUGACACAGGAGGCUAAGGCAGGAGGAUCCCCAGUUCAAGGCCAGCCUCAGAAACUUAGCAAGACCCUGCAUCAAAAUAAAAUUUUAAAAAAUUAAAAAUAAAAAAGUUUUUGGGGAUGUGGCUCAGUGGUUAAGUGCUCUGGGUUCAAUCCCUGGCACAAAAACAAAUAAAUAAGCAACGCUGUUUUGUAUCAAAUGAAUGAAAAAAUGUAAGUAACAUGACUUCACUAGGAAAAUGGAUAAAACACUCUGCUCCAGUCAAUGUGUGACACUGGCUUUUCACCAGCCAGAUCAUGUGCAGAUUCAGCCCUGGGCAGAUCUGGCCACCAGUGGAAGUAUUUGUUAUACCAGCUUUCAUGGCUCCAGAUCGUGAGACAUUUUUAAAAGCAAAUAUGUUCAAUUGGGAUAUAAAUAAAUCACCUGAGAUUGUAAUAUUAAUCAAAUAAUGUCUGUAAGCCAGAGAGAAUGAGAACAUGACAAGAGCUGCCGUGUGACUGCCUGUCCUUUGCAGCUGGCUGCUGGGAGGCCUUGAUAGCUUCCCCACUUUCUGGGAACCUUGUGUUUUCAAAGUUUUCAUGUCUUAGCAUCUGGCACAGGGCUAGAGUCAUCCUGUUUCUCUAAAGCCACAGUGUUGGAGCCCACCAAACGGAUGGAAAACAUCUCCUGCAGCUGAACCCUGACAGUUGUGUGGAAUCUGGGAAACUGGAACAAAGGGAAAAGGAUGAUGAAUAUGCAGGCAGAUGUGUUUGGGGGAUGCCAAGGAGGCAAAGCUGUACAGAACAGGGAGUCAGUGGGGUGAGUCACAGGAGGCAAGAUUCACAGGGUACAGCCAUGGGUCUCAAAUGCCAGACUGCAAAAUGGCCCUGGGAUAGCAGGAACAGGUAGAGGUCUGUGCAUGGGGAAGGCCAGAUGAGAUCAGAGUAGCAGAAAGAUGAAUGUGAAUCAUAAGCUGUCAGCCAAAGGACAUCAAAAUGCUGGAAAUAAUGGUAGAAGAAUAUGUCCAGGUGACAGAUUGGAGGGUUAAGAUCUUAAAUGCAGGAGCACCAAUUAAGAGGUGCUGCUGUAGUUAUAUUUUAGACUGAUUAUAACGGAUAUGAAAGAACCAGUGUCAAAGACUCCUUCAGAGGGAAAAAUACUGAAGUGUUGAUUCUGAAGGCUUUCUUUGUGCUAUUUCUUAUGUAUAUGCGUGUAUAUGUAUACACAUGCUUAUAUGUCACCAUGAAGCUAAAACCAAGAGACAUUCACUUCACAAUUGUUUGUGAAUGGCUGCUGUGUGCCAGGCAUGCUCUGGUGGCAAGUUCUACUGUGGUCAACAAGAUAGCCACCUGAAGGGGACUACUUUUUGAAACCAGAUAAUAGUAUUCCUAUGUCUCAUUCUUCUGCAAAAACCAUGGUACUUCCACAUGAUCAGUGUGCACCCAGUUCUGUACAGGGGACAGGUAAUAACAUUUUGAGAAUAAGAAAUGCCCAGGGGAACUCUGGGGCCUCUACUUGAGCUGCAAGUCAAAGCAUUAGUACUCCUUCCUAGCAAAAUGGGAGACCCAAGCUUGCAUAUAAAAUCCUAAGAGUAAAGCAGGUUAAACCGUGCAUGCUGGCUAAUUUCAAAAUACUAGAAUUUAAGGAGAACUUGCUGAAACUUGAAAGAAGGAAAAUAUAGGGCAGUUAGCAGACAGGCCCCUAAAGGUCAUCAGGAAAUUAUAACACCCAGGAAGGUGACACAGACAGAAAUAGGCGUUUGUCAAUGUUGAGCUAGAAUGGAUUAUCAGGAGGUAUAGGGUUCUUCUUUGACCUUUAAAGGCCAACAGUGUGGAAGGCCUAAUACAAGAGCUGGACUUAUCUGCCUCAGGGAGCCUGACCUCCAUCCCGCCUCCUUCCUGGGAUAUCAUAAACACAGCCCAGCCCAAGUUCUCCUGGUGUCUCAUUUGUCCUCCAUUGAGAACAAUGUGUUCUUGAGAACAACGUGUUCUUGAGAACAACGUGUUCUUGAGAACAACGUGUGCAAAGUUGCUUUGCUGUAAUCAAAAAUCCCAACAUACUUGCAUUUACAGCUAGGCAAUUUUGGGUUUACAAUGUAACUACUAAAACUAGACUGAUGAUAGGCGGGUGGCAGUGGGGACAUAAUCCCAUGGACUCAAGAGCCUGAGGCAGGAGAAUCACAAGUUCAAGGCCAGUCUCUGCAAUUUAGUAGAGACCCUUUCGCAAAAUAAAAAAAAUUAAAAGGGGCUGGGGAUGUGGCUCAGUGGUUAAGCACCCCUAGGUUCAACCCUGGUACCUAACAAAUAAUAAUAAUACCAGACUGACUUGAAUUUAUAUUCCUAUUUUUUUAAUUCAUUAGUAUUUCCAGCCGUCCCCCUACCACCAUAUACCCCUUCACAGAUGACUCAUUUGAUUUGGUGAAAUUGCUUUUGUUUUUUUUCUUUGCAGUGCUGGGAAUGGAAUCCAGGGCCCAUGCACAAUAGGCAAAUGCUCUACCACUAAGCCAUACCCUUAGCUCAGCUCAUUGGAAUGUAAUCUGUAGAGAAAGGUGUACUUCUCCUGCUUUGAACAUUAGACCUGUUCUGUAGCACCCCAGGUUGCAUGGUUUGCUUUGUCUUCCCUCCCCCACCUGUUCUGUGUCUUUGGCCUGUAAGCCUGAGGGCUCCUCCCAAGACUCCCCCAAUUCAGAUUCUUUCCCUCCCUCACCUGCUACCCCAUGGUAUUAUGUCCUUCCUUUUUCUAAGGGGAAUCUCCAGAACUCCAUUGUUGUCUGACUCCUUUUUAACUUUUAUUUUGAACUAAGUAUAAAUUCACAAGAAGCUCUAAAACAGCACAGUGAGGUCCUAUGUACCCAUCACCCGCUUCUCCCAAUGGCAACAUCUUACAUAACUUCAGUAUGUUGUAAUCAGGAAAUUGGGAUGAAUAUAAUACAGUUAACAAGAGUACUGUGUCUAGCUUAUUUUUCUUAGCAUAUUGUUGCUGAAAUUAGGUGAAAUUUUUCUUUUGGCUAUAGCCUAUAAUAAUUAAGUUAAUAUAAUACUUUCAUAUGCAUAUAUCAUUUUUAUGUAAAUUUUUUAUUUAUAUAUGACAACAGAAUGCAUUACAAUUAUUACACAUAUAGAGCACAAUUUUUCAUAUCUCUGGUCAUAUACAUAGUAAAUUCACACCAAUUUGUGUCUUUAUACAUGUACUUUGGAUAGUAAUGAUCCUCACAUUUCACCAUCAUUUCUAACCCCAUGCCCCCUCCCUACCCCUCCAACCCCUCUGUUCUACCUAGAAUUCGUCUUUUCCUCCCACAUGUGCAUAUAUCUUAACAAACUGUAACAAAUGCUUAGAAACUGUUGGUACCCAUGGUUUCAUGUGUAGAGCAGCAUCUCAUCAUUGGUUUCUUUUAUCUCAGCCAGAACUGUACUAAUCAUAUGUGAGACAAUAUGAAACUUCUUGGGUUACCACAUAGGCUCUGAUUUGGGCAUAUAUGUGGUCUCAGUUAGGCACAAAUCCAAAAAAUGAAUGUGCUUUUAUUAAUAGAGGGAGAUGGUUUAGCUGAGGUUGGAAAAUGGUGUGGCUUUGGUUUUAAAUCAUUUGACACUGUUUGUGGUCUCUGGCGGCUGUAUUUAUUCUUUCACAUCAUCAGUGGGAAGUGAACCAUUUUGCAGUUGGCAGCUGAGAUAAAGCUCCAGGGAUUUGGGUUAUGGAUAUUCCAGAUCAUUGAGAAAUAAAAUAAAUGUGUUUCGAGACAAAUGCCAGAUAGAGCAGGGGAGGCAGUGGACAAGGAGAAGCCCAGGCCACCAGCCUACCUGGAAAGGGGUAGAAUUUCUGAGCCCCAGUUUCCUCAUCUCGAAAAUAGGGCACGUUACUGCUCAGGGGAUUGUUUUAAGGAGCAAAUGAAGUGAAGCUCAUGAGAUAGGCCAGGAAGUAGCUGCUCAGAUCCUUUGCAUAAAUAUCAUUUGAUAUAUAAAACUGAAUCUUGAUCCUAAAUUAGGUUGAGGAAGCAUGGUAACUUCCAGACAAUGAAUGGUACAAUUUCCAAGUGUUUUAUGUCCCAAAGAUUUCUUUGAAAACUUUUUUUAAAAUGGGGAAACUUCUGAUGCACCUAAAAUGAGAGUUUCAUGGUGGGUUCUUGGAGAAGGAGCUGAUCACCUUCUGGGGGGGAAUCCAGUGAGUUCCCAGGGGACUGAGGACUCUGGGGGAGGACAAGAAAGAGAGAGGGCCAUCCCCCUCUGGAAAUGGGCAGUCUGUGGAAACUCAGGUCUACUAGCAGCCUUCUCCACCUUACACCCUCCCCCACUGCAGCAGAGAAUAUAGGAGUGUUAUGACCUAGUCAGGGUCUCCAUAGUUUAAGACAAAGUUUACUGGUAUUUGCUAAGGUUAUUCAAGGCCCUGGGUUAGAUCCCCAGCUAAUAGUUGAAAACAUAUUUUGAAGUUGGUAAGUACUGACAAUUAACUUGGAAAAAUAGAAGCUAAAUCUUUUGGGUUCAAUUUUACUGUAUUGAAAUGCUGGGAUUUUUUGUUUGUUUGUUUGGUACCAGGGAUUGAAUCUAGGGGUGCUUAACCACCGAGCUAGGUCCCCAGCCCUUUUUAUUUUUUAUUUUGAGAUAAGAUCUCACUAAGAUUCUUAGGGCCUCACUAAGUUGCUAAAGCUGACCUUGAACUUGUGAUCCUCCUGUCUCAGCCUCCCAGGUAGCUGGGAUUACAGACAUGCACCAUCAGGUCCAGUCUUCUCUUUUUUCUUCUUCCCACUGGUUGCCUUCCAAUUCCAUAUGUCUGUCCCAUACUGUUGCAGAUUACAAGAUGGGAAAAAUAAGAAUGAAAGCUUAUAUUUUGUAAUUUGCUAUUUUCAUACUUUCUUAGUGAAAUGACAGUUAAAGUUGACAGUUGCUCCAGUAAGUCAUUAAAAAGUUAAACAAGUAUCUAUGUAUACAUGUAACUUGGGCUUUUUUUAAAAAAAGAAAGGAUUUUGAGAUGAUUUUAAAAAAUAUGUACAGAGCUAGGGUUGUGGCUCAGCAGUAGAGCGCUCGCCUCGAACAUGCAAGACCAUGGGUUCGAUCCUCAGCACCACAUAAAAAAACAAAUAAGUGAAAUAAAGGUAUUGUGUCCAACUACAACUAAAAAAUAAAAUAUUAAAAAAUAUAUUCAUAACCCACUUGAAUCAACGUGUGAAAUAUGAUAUAUCAAGAAAUUUGUAAUGGUUUGAACAACCAACAAUAAAAAAUUAAAAAAAAAAAAUAUAUAUAUAUAUGUACAAUUGUUGGUGGAACUGCAAACUAGUACAGCACUCUGGAGAGCAGUGUGGAGAGUUCUCAAAAAAACUAGGAAUGAAACCACCACAUGGUCCAGAUAUCCCAUUCCUUGGUAUUUUCCCAAAAGAUCAAAAAUUAGAAUACUGUAACAAUAUAGCCACCUCAAUGUUUAUAGCAGCACAAUUCACAAUAGCUAGAUUAUGGAAUCAAUCAAUGCCAAUAGAUGAAUGGAUUAAGAAAUUGUGAUGUGUCUUAUCACAUCUUAUAUAUACAUAUAUAUCACAAUUUUAAUACAUAUGUAUAUAUACAUAAUAUAUGCCAUAAUUUUAUCUUUUAGAGCUGAGUAGAUAUCUAUAUAUAUGAUGUAUGAUGUGUAUAUAAUGUAUAUAUUAUGUAUCUAUGUAUAUGUGCACAUAUAUUACAUACGUACAUACAUGUACAUUACAUAUUUAUAUAUAAAAAUAUAUACAUGGAGAGAGAGAGAGAGAUCCACUUCUCUGUAAAAAAAGAAUGAAAUCAUGGCAUUUGCCAGUAAGUGGUUGGAAAUGGAGAAUAUCGUGCUAAGUGCAAAAAGCUAGACUCAGAAACUCAAAGGUUGAACAUUUCUCUCAUAUGCAGAAGCUAGAGUAAAAUAAAGGAAAGGGGGAGGGAAGGAUAGGAUAACAUAAAGGGAAGAUCAGUAUUGUAGAAAAGGGGAUCAAGAAGCAGAGUGGUAGGAUGGAUAAGAGUUCUUAAAAAUCAUUUUAUGUGCAUAUAUAAGUAUACAAUAAGGAAGUUCACCUUUAUGCAUAGGUAGAAAGAACCAAUCAAAUAUAAAAUGAAAGGAAGUCUAAUAGUGGAAGGAGAAUGAGAGAGGGGAGGAGGAAAGGGGAAAAGAGGGGACGGGAAAAGGGGGAUCAUGGACUGAAAUCGAUUUCUAUGCAGGUGUGAGUUUAUCGGGAUGAACUCAGCCACUAUGUACAUCUAUAAAGCUCUAAUUUUAAAAAAGAUUAUGUACAAUAAAAAAGAUAAAUAUAUAUCAAAGUACAAUUUGAAACAACAUAAAUUAGGAUAGAAACUCGCCUUCACCAUACCAUGCUAUUUAGCUAGACUCUCUUCCCACCCACCCUUCUCUGGGUCUGAACAAUCAACACACCAUCCCCCCAGCUGGUAUUGAGAGUAGCGGCUCACAGAGAUUGAGGCAGUUCUCACAGUGGGGACCUGCAUAGCUGCAUCUGCCUGGUGGCCUCUUCCAGGACCUUCUACCUCAGGGAUUUUAGCUCUGUGUCACCCAGGCCUUUGAUAAUCCUCUGCAUUUUCUUGCCAGAGGCUUCUUAAAGGGAAAAACCUCCCGACCCCUCUCCUUUCCAGCUUCCCUCUCUGUUCCUCUCCUCCUUCCCCUUCUCCUUCUAUGUUUCAUCCAGCCAGGCAGCACCUGAACAGAAAGAGCUUUUCAUGGGCACAUUUUAUUGUCCUGAGUAGAAAGAGGAAUUAGAGAUGGUUUAUACACUGGAGGAAUUCACCACGGGAGAGGGGUGCAGGGGCAAGUGAUUAUGACUCUGUGGUGAGGCUCUAGAGGCAUGAAGAGGCAUUGACAGAACCACUGGACAGUCUUCAUGGAGGACAAGUGAGCCUGAGCUGGGUCCUGGAAAAUGAGCAGGAGAUUGCCCGUGGGGGGAGCAGGGAAGGGUUAGUCCAGGAGGGCGUUCCAAGUGGAAGAAGGGGUCUAUUCAAAGGUGUGGAAUCAUGAUGUUUUAUGGGGCAGAGUCUGAAAAAAUGGCUGUGUGAUGAGGAAAAGAGGUGCAGGAAGUGAGCUCCAAGGACAUCUCAGAGGAGUGGACUAUGCUUUAUAAAGUGAAUAUGGAUGUUGCCCACUAGACCCUGGACAUCUUCCCAAAAGGGAAGGUUGGGUUUUGAGAAGUCCCCUCAGGCAUCAGUGAAUGCUGUGGGAAGAUGAACCAGAUGGGAAGAGACUGUGGAAGGACCUGGUUCAGGGGACUGUGGAGUGUGGGUAAGAGAUGAAGCCAUGGUGACCUGGUGAGGGGGAGAAGAGGUAGAACAGGUGACCAGUCAUGUGUGGAAAGGGAAAGGAGCAGGGGAGUUUCAGAGCCUAUUUGAUUGAGAUGAAGAGGGAAUAAAUCCACAGGGAACCACUCCCCUCCACAAAAUCCAUUUUCUUUCAUCCAAUAUUUUUUAAUUACUCUGCUCCUUUAAAAUCAUCUUACGGUCAGUCUGCUUAAUUCAUGGUUUCCUCAUAUCCUAACCUUGCUAUUGGUACCCAGUCUUUCCUUUGUAGAUAGAUGUUCAUGACAGGCACUAGUCUCCAUUCUGGGGGCAUAGUGAUGGGAAGACAAACAAGGUAUAUACCCCCACGAAAGCCUCUAAUCCACAGGAGUAGACAGACAGGAAGACAUAACAUUAAAUAGAGUUUGCCAGGGAGUUUAUGGUAUGAGAUAAAGUUUGAGGGGUUGGUAAGAACCACAUCAUGUAUGUCCUUAUAGACCAUGGGCAGGGCACUAAACCUUAUCCUAGGAGCAACGGCGAAAAGCCAGCAGGGCCUAUGGUGACUAAAGCAACAAGACAGGAUUAUGGGACUUUUGAGAUUUUAGCAGCUAAGUUGAUGGUGGUGUUGUAGAUUGAGAUAUUAUAAGGUAGUGUGUGGUACAAGUUUCACACAUAUAUUUUCUACUAGUCCCAUAUGGACAAAUUUGGAAAUAUUCAGUGCAUCAAUUAUGUGUUGUGCACAUAACAUGAUUGAUAUGUGUAGCAAAUGGGUAGGGAUUUAAACCAAGAUGAUAUAUGACAUAUUGAUCUGAGCCAUUUAUAAAAGGCAGUACAUUGGGGCCCAAGAACCUUGAGCUGUCUUAACUUUUUCUAAUGAGGUGAGAAGGAUUGAGAGGGGGAAAAAAAUUUAGGUUGAAACAAGAAAAUAAAAGUCCCUAGGAAAACUGUGAUUCCUUCUGCUAACAACAUCCCUUGCCAGAGGUUAGAUGAGGGGGGCAAGAAGAUGACUGUGGAUCCGAAUGCCCAUCUUCUAAGCCCUGGGAACCAGGGAAAAGAAACUUCAUGUGCAUAUGAGUGGAACGGGUUCCCCAUGGUGUCUGCAUGUACCAGUUCAGGUCUGGAUUCACUUGGGCAUCUGUGUUCUUUGGUCUCUGUUGAGGAAAGUAUGAGUCAUUCUUUGGAUUGAGAUAAACCAGUAGUGCCCAAGGGCCUGGGCUGUCUCAGAACAGGUAGAGUCUAGUCAGAUGAUGGGAAUUUUCCAUUUUAUGGCAGCAAUGGCCUGGGAUUCCUAGAACAGUUUAUUAGUCUUCACAAAAGACCUAAUCCUUAGCUUAGAAGACUGUAUUGUAGAUUCCUGGUCAGAUCAAAUACUUGUAUAGUUUAGUUCCCUGACAAUGUUUGUGAUCCUGUACCUUUCAAGGAAGAAUUGACUAAGUCAUGUAUAAUUGAAUCACUACAUUGAGAUAUUUUUAAAUUGUUCUCAAGAUAGUUAUAUUUUAACUUACAAAAUCUUUUUGUUAUGAUAUAAGGAUGCUUUAUAUUUACCUAAUGCUUUCUAGUAUAUGAAUACAUUGUCACAUCUUUUCUAUUUGCUACAUACAACCACUCUGAAAGUGAGCAGAAUAGUAAUCCUGUUUUUAUAGAUAUGAAAAUGGGGAAGUGGAAAAAUGAGUGUCUGCCCCACAUAACUUGAAGGAGAUUUGGAACUGAAUCCUGUUAGUUGACUCUAAAGCCAGUGUUCUCUCUUCUGCAUCCUGAAUGAGAAGUUCCUCAAUUAAGGUGGGGGUGAGCCUAUGAUAUAUGCACACCAUUAGGUAAUGGGCUCUAGCAGUGCCAUUACAUAUCUCAUCUCAUUGAAUCCUCACAACUAGGAAAACUGUGAUUCCUUCUGCUAACAACAGGGCAGUUAUCACCAUGUCCACUUUAUUGAUGAGAAAAAUUUGCUUUGGAAGGUUAAGUAACUAAUCCAGGCUUGAAAAUGGUGGCACUGAUUUGACUUUCUUCACUAAUAGCUUGCCUGUACCAUCCCUCAAGGAAAGAUCACACCACAUAUGAAAAUUAUUAGAUAACAGCAACACCAAUUUUCAGAUUUACUAAAUUGUUCUCUACUCUUAGACAAAGGAAAACACAGUUUUUCUUAAAUUGUUCUACAAAAUAAGACCAAUUUGCAAAAAUCUCAAUACUUAGAAGAAAAUAAGUCUGAUAGUCUUAAAUAUUCUUCGGUCACAUCAUCUUUGAUGGUAUUUAUAAGAACAAUAGAGCAAGAAAUUUCUAAUCUGUGGAACUGAUAUGGCUGUCACAGGAUCAAUUGAAGAUCUUGUGGCUAUUAACCCAGAUAGUGAUUUGCUUCACCCUGAUUUCUGUUAUGCUAAUUCCCUAUUCCAUUCUCUUUUUUCUGUUUAAUUUUUUAGACUUUAUUCCUUGUAUCAAUAGGUUAAGAAAGUGAAAUUUUCCCAGGUACUGAUUUAUAGAUACUAUUUAUAAGUAGAAUCAAAAAGUUCAGUUUCACAAACAGUAGCAUUCAGUGAUCUCUUUAAAUGCAAUUUUAAUCCUUAUUUUAAGCUAAGGGCAAUAAUUUAAUGCAAUAAGCUAAAUUCACACAAAACCUCUUAACUCUGAACUACAAAAGUGGUUUUUGUAGCUACAUGUGGUUUUAGUCAACUACGUAUUUCCACAAGUACUUAUAUAUAUGUUAAAAAAAAUACUACCCCAAAUGCUUAUCCUACCAUUAGCUCAUUAAACAUUGUCAUUCCUGCUACUGAAAGUAAAUUAUCAGGAAAAUGAGUUCUAAAACUUAAAAAGUAACCUAAGUCCCAAAAGGUUUUAAAUCAAAAAAGUCUUUCAACAUGGAAGCAUCAACAUGAAACUUUAAGUUUCUAGAAAAAUAAAAAUAAAAAAUCACUAUUUAGAAAAUAUUAAAACAAAUUAUCAUUUAAGACACAUAAACAUUCCUACAAAAACUUGUAGUUUCAAAUAUCGUCUCCUUAAAAGAAAAACCAGUUCACUGUCUUUAAUAACAUCUCAGACUACUGUUGUCUAAAACUUCAGAAUAUGUAUGUAAGGCAUAUGUUUCAGCAGUCAUAGUCAAAAUGACAUUUAGAUUUCAUAUAUUAAACAGCUAUAGUAUAGCUUAUAAUGGCACAAAUAUACGUAACAAAUACUACUUCAUCCUUUAGAUAGUCAAAAGUCAGAAGGAACCACAUAAUUUGUAAGGUACUUUAACUUACAUGUAGUCAUUAAAACUCAGUAAGUAAUUCAAGUGUGGUCAUGUAAAGGCAGGCAAUUAAAGGCUCAAGGAUCACUCUAAAAUCAAAGACAUGAAAUUAAAGGCUGAAAACUUUGUUUCUCCAUCUUUCAUUUACAUGCCUAGAUAUUAGGAUAUUACUGUACAAAAUAUACAAUUAUUAUAUAUGAUUUCCACAGAAGAUAAUGAAAUUCCAUGAAGUACAAAAAUUAUCAAGAUCUGUAGUUUGCUUCAUCAAAUGCUUUUCUAGCUUGUUUCAAUGCUUCAUUCAUGGUAAGCAAGUCUUUAACCCUAGCGAACUUCCUUGGGUCCUUCUGAAUCAAGAAGACGAUAUUUUCAACUUGUACUCGACCUUGUCUUCCAAUUGACAUUGCCUUGUGAGUCAUUUCAGUGAUGAACUCUAUUACAAGGUCUUCAAGAAUAUCCACUGACUCAGUGUAAGGAUUCUGGUCAUCCCCAAACCCAUACAUCACACAUUGUAAUUCUUUAGAAAAAAAAUAUCUUUUAGUCUGUCUACCUUCUGUACCUCCCCCAAUUUCUUCAUUUUCCUCCUCAAACAUCCGGUCUUUUUCCUCAUUGACCAUCCCUCUAGCCCACCAGCCCACAGCCUAUUAUUCCAUUCUUUACCUUUGAACCCAAUUAGGCUUGCUUUGUUUUUAUUUCAUGCUAUUGUGCCUAGACCCAUAUUCUCUAAUGGGAGAAUCAUAACAGGGACUUGGUUUACCUACUGAUUGAUACAAUGAAAUUUAUGGAGUGGAUUGUGCCUUGUUAGAUAAUUAGCAUGGCUAUAUUUUCCAGUUUUAAAAAAUGGCACAGCCACCUGGCAUACGUCUGUAAUCCCAGUAACUCAGGAGGUUGAGGCAGGAGAAUCUCAACUUAAAGGCCAGCCUCACAAAGUUUCAAGAGGCCCUAAACAACUUAGAGAGAUCCUGUUUCAAAAUAAACUAAAAAAUAAAAAAGGACUGGGGAUGUGGCUCAGUGCUAAGUGUUCUUGGGUUCAAUCCCCACUACAAAAAUAAAAUAAAAAAUAGUGCAAACAUGCUUUUAUCCUAGGCAACUGCUACAUUGAGAAACUUGGUUGAUUCACCGCUAGCAAGAAGUAAGUUCUUGAGCAUCAGCACCCUUCCCCAGCUCUGCACAGUGAUGGAGCAGUACAUGGAUGACAAGGACGUCUGUACCAAUAUUGCCAGAAUAUUCAGGUAGGUAGACUAAGAGAAUGAAGUAGCCUUACAAAAAUGCUAAUGCUUGGGUUUCGUAUUAUUUGCAAUGUUUGAGUGUGUGACAGGGAAUUCUUUUUUGUCUUUUUUUGCUUUUUAUUUCCCCUAGCAGAAAAAGUAAAUCUGGUGGGUCCAAAUUUAGAAUACAUGCUUUAUGGAUUCUGUUUCCUGUGUGAUUGUCUUGCCACUCUGUAUUCGCUAAAUGUAGGUCAUUUUAGUUCUUUGGUGAAUUGUGAGCUAUCCCUAAUGUUCUUGUUUAUUUCUGUGUACCACGAUAGAUGGCGAACUUCCUAGUAUACCUGGAAAUAAUAUUUCACAGUUCAUCUGUUACAAGUGUGAUCUGAUUUUGUAUUUUAUUCCAAUGGUUUGAACUUUGGUUCACACAUCCACUAAUCAUGUCUGUACUUUACUCCAGACAGGAUGGUCAUUUAUAUCCAGGUUGUCUCAAAACAAGAUGUUGUUGAAUUUCAGAGCUGUCUUUAAAUUACAUAUUUGUAUUUUUUCCCUUACUUUUAUUUGCCAGCAUUUUAAUAUAAUGAUUUUUCUCAAGAAACCUGGUACUAUCUUUAACUAUUAAAUUUCCUGAAGACCAGAUUGGUAAUUGACCCCAGUAUGAGGCUAUUGAGUCCAGAUUUUAUUUCUUUCCUGAACUUUGUUCUGGAUCUUUAAUUACUCCCAUUUUGAAGCAUUGUAAAAUUGCAAAGAGUUUAUGUUUUGUGGAUGGUGGCAUAUAGGGAGUCCAAGUUAAUUUUUUUUUCCAUGUGAAUGGAUGGUCUGUUGUCCAGCAUCUUUUUGAAUAUGCUGUCCUUUUCUCAUGGAUUUUCAGUCAUUUAUAUGUUUCCAAAUUACUGCAGGUCUGUUUCUGGGCAUUCUAUAUGGUCCAUCCUCAGACCAGUAAGUGCUACAUUGCUUUUACUAUUAUAGAUUUAAUUUGAAUCUUGCUAAAAGAUGAAUCUCUCACUUUUUUUCUUUUAAGAUCCAGACUCGUUCUUUUUUCUUCCUUAUGAACUGAGAAAAUCAGUAAGUCUAUGAUAAGAACUUUAGGAUAUUUUUUCUUUUAUUUGAACCCAGGGAUUCUCUACCACUGAGCUACAUCUCCAGCCCUUUUUAUUAUUUUUAUUUUAAGACAGGGUCUCUUAUUUUAAGACAGUUGCUGAGGCUGGGCGACUUAUAAUCCUCCUGCCUCAGUCUCUUUGAUAGUGGGGUAAUAGGCCUGAGCCACCACAGAAGGUUUUCCUGACUUUAAAUGAAUUAUUUUUAUGGUCUCACCAGUGAAAAAUGAUGUUUCUUGUAGAUUUUUAUAGAUACUUUUAAGAAAGUUCUGGAAAGAUUCUUUCUCAUUAAGCAAGGUUUUUUCAAAUGCUUGCCCUGAUUCUAUUUUGGAUACAUAGAUUUACUUUUUUCAAUCUAUUAAUCUAGUAAAUUACAUUAAGAUUUUCUCAUAUUAGUAGGCCAUCAUAUAUUGAUGGGUCUGGUUAACUAAUGUUUUAAUCAGAGAUUUUUCAUCUCUGGUCAUGAGUCAAGUUGAUCUUUUCUUUUCCUUUCCUACAUUAUUGUUUGUUUUUGGUUCAAGUUUAUACCUGCCUCAUAAUGGGAAGUAUUCCAAUUUCUCUUUUCUAGAAGAAUUUAUGAAAAUUAAGCUUAUUUAUGUAUUUGUACCAGGGAUUGAACCAGGGGUGCUUAACCACUGAGCUAUAUCCCCAUCCAGGCCUUGCUAAAUUGUGAGGCUGGCUUUGAAUUUAUAAUCCUUCUGCCUCAGUCUCCCAAGCCAUUGGGAUUAUAGGCAUGCACCACCAUGCCCCUUUAAAUUUAUCUAUUUUUUGAAAAGCACGUACAGACUAGAGGCAUGUGCCACUGCAGCUGGCUAAUUCAGUUUCUGCAUAUCUAGUGAUAUUUUUAUUUCUCCUUGGCUCAGUUUAAAAAGUCAUAUUUUUUAGCAUGGCAUGGUAGCACAUGCCUGUAAUGCCAGCAACUCAGGAGGCUGAGGCAGGAGAAUUAUAGUUCAAGGAUAGCCUGGACAACUUAGCAAGACUCUGUCUCAAAAUAAAUAGGGAUGGGGAUGUAGUUCAAUGGCAGAGUGCCCAUGGGUCCAAUCCUCAGUAUCAAAAUAAAUAAAUAGUUAAAAUUUUAUAGGAUUUUGUACAAUUUUCUAAGUUUUCAAACAAUAUAGAGUUCAAAAAUACUCUACUUAUCAUCAUUUUAGUAUCUGUUGAAUCUUUCAUUUACUUUACAUAUUUGAUACUUGGAUACUUAGUACAUGAUAGGCAAUACUUUAAAAGAAUUUUCCAAAUACUAAUUCAUUUUAUCCUUACAUCAACUUGGUUUUUUGUUUGUUUGUUUCUAUUUUUGGUACUAAGAAUUGAACCUAGGGUCACUUUAGCACUGAGCUACAUCUUUAAUCCUUUAAUAUUUUUUUAAAAUUUUGAGACAGGGUCUUCCUAAGUUGUUAAGGAUUUUGCUAAAUUUCUUUUUUUUUUAAUUUACUUUAUUAUUUUUAGUAGCUUCCAUUCAAAUAACAAAUAUAUAUCCUAUUUUUUAAUUUUUAAAUUGAUUUUAAAAAAUAAAUAACAGCAGAAUGCAUUACAAUUCUUAUUACACAUAUACAGCACAAUUUUCAUAUCUCUUGUUGUAUAUAAAGUAUGUUGAGUUCAAUUCGUGUCUUCAUACAUGUACUUUGGAUAAUGAUGUCCAUCACAUUCCACCAUCAUUGCUAACCCCCUGCCCACUCCCUUCCCCUCCCACCCCUCUGCCCUACCUAGACUUCGUCUAUUCCUCCCAUGCUCCCCCUCUCUACCCCACUACGAAUCAGCCUCCUUAUAUCAGAGAAAACAUUUAGCAUUGGUUUGUUGGGACUGGCUAACUUAAUUUAGCAUUAUCUUCUCCAAUGCCAUCCAUUUACCUGAAAGUGCCAUGAUUUUAUUCUCUUUUAUUGCUGAGUAAUAUUCCAUUGUGUAUAUGUCACAUUUUUUUUUAUCCACUCAUCCACUGAAGGGCAUCUAGGUUGGUUCCACAGUGGAUCUUGCUAAAUUUCUAAAUUUCCUAUGAAUCUUCUGUCUCAGCCUCCACAGUCACUGGAAUGACAGGCAUUGCCUCUGCACCUGGCCUUAUAUCAACUUUUUAAGAUAGGUUCCAUUAUAAGCAGGUGUGUUGGGGUAGGCCUGUAAUUCUGGCUGUUGGGGAGACUGCAGCAGGAGGAUUUCAAGUUUGAGGCCCGGCUGUGCAAAUUUGUACAUCCCUGUCUCAGAACAAACUAAAAAAGAGCUGGGGGUGCAGCUCAAUGGUAGAGUACUUGCCUAGCAUGCGUGAGGUCCUGGUUCAAUUCCAGGACUGGAGCAGAGGAUAGAUAAGAUAUUGCUGUCUUCAUUUGACAGAUGAGGAAACUGAGGCACAGAAAAGAUCAGUAGUUUUCCUAAAAUCACACAGUAAGUUGUAGGACAACAAAUCAAACAGGUUAUUCUGGCUCUAGAAUUCAUACUUUUAACAAAUAUGUUAUACUGCUCUUCAUUUUUAAUACUGAUUUUAUUUCUAAUUUUGAUUAAUAUUUAUCUUUUUUCUUGAUAAGUCUUGCCAAAAGUUUGUCAGUUUUAUUAGUUUUUACAGAAAAUCAGUAGAUUUAUUGAUCCAUUUAUUGUUUGUUUGUUUUCUAUCUUAUUCCUUCAGCUCUUAUCCUUAUUAAUCCCUUUCUUCUAACUUCUAUGGGUAUAUUUUUCUUCUGUAUUAAAAACUCAUCUUUCUUUUUAGUCUUCUUAAGACUAUAUAUUAUCCUUUGAACACGGCUUUAGCUACAUUCUACAAAUUUUGACUUGUAAUAUUUUUGUUAUUAUUCAGAUAUAUUUUUAGGUAUUCUUAUUUCUUUGAUCCAUUAGUUAUAUGUUUCUAAAAAUAUUUUAAAAAUAUAUUUUGAAAAUUAUUUUUGAUUUUAAAAAAUAAAUAACUUAAGUGUACUAUGAUCAGAGAGUAUUAUUAAGAUACUAGUUCUCUGAAAAUUUACUGAGAUUUGUUUAUAGCCUGCUACAUGGUCAAAUUUUGAAAGUAUGACUGACAUUGUUCUAUUGAUCUAUCAAUUAGUAAGAAAUUUAUGAACAUCUCCCAAUUUGAUGUGGGUUUGUUGGUAUUGCCUUGUGGAUUUUGUUUGCUCACUUGCUUGCUGUAGAAAUUUUAAAGCCAUUUUAAAGAUCUUUUACCUUAAGGUCUACUUUUCCUGAUAGCAGAGCACUACUAGCCUGGUAUAUUAGAGCAGUUGUACAUUGCUCAUGUAGAUGUGUUACAGUCUUCAGUCUUCUUCUGUUUUUCUUUUCUUUCUUUUUUUUUUUUAAUUUUUUAUUGUUGGCUGUUCAAAACAUUACAUAGUUCUUGAUUCAACACACUUCUUGAUUCUUCACACUUUGAUUCAAGAGGGUUAUGAGCUCCCAUUUUUACCCCAUAUACAGAUUGCAGAAUCACAUCAGUUACACAUCCAUUGAUUUACAUAUUGCCAUACUAGUGUCUGUUGUGUUCUGCUGCCUUUCCUAUCCUUCUUCUGUUUUUCAAAGGACCUUUUUAUUUGUUUGUUUAUUUGUUUGAUUAUUUAUUUAUUUUUUAAUUUCCUUGCUCCAUAUCCCCAGAAUAUAGAGUGGACAUCAAGUCUCUUUACAGCUUCUCUAGGCUGGUGCGUGGAGUAUUUGUAGACUCCUUUUAAUGAACUGGGUAACUGUGAAGGGCUAAGGUUAAUGUGAUAUUAUGUCUUCCUGAAUUUUAUAGGAAAACAUUUAAUUUUUUUUUUCCCAUUUGGCAUUUCUGCAGCAAACUAACUACUUAUCGUGAUAGCUGUGCAGCCUUGGCCAACUAUUCCAGAUGUUAUGCCUUAUUUUUGAAUCUGAU